CACGAACGCUGGCGGCAGGCUUAACACAUGCAAGUCGAGCGCCCCGCAAGGGGAGCGGCAGACGGGUGAGUAACGCGUGGGAAUCUACCCAUCUCUACGGAAUAACGCAUGGAAACGUGUGCUAAUACCGUAUACGUCCUUCGGGAGAAAGAUUUAUCGGAGAUGGAUGAGCCCGCGUUGGAUGAGCGAGUUGGAGGGGUAAAGGCCUACCAAGGCGACGAUCCAUAGCUGGUCUGAGAGGAUGAUCAGCCACACUGGGACUGAGACACGGCCCAGACUCCUACGGGAGGCAGCAGUGGGGAAUAUUGGACAAUGGGCGCAAGCCUGAUCCAGCCAUGCCGCGUGAGUGAUGAAGGCCCUAGGGUUGUAAAGCUCUUUCACCGGUGAAGAUAAUGACGGUAACCGGAGAAGAAGCCCCGGCUAACUUCGUGCCAGCCGCCGCCGUAAGAC
rnacentral:rRNA from 1 species